CUUCGGUGAUGAUACGAUGACGAGUCAGAAGGGACGUCCUCGUGUCAUUGCGGCCUGUUCAGUGCCACGUUCUGUGGUGCUGUCCCGGGGCUGCCUUGGCCGGGAUGUCCUGUUAAUUGGAUGAUUUGGAGGCAUUUGUCUGAGAAGG
rfam:Apaloderma vittatum contig30930, whole genome shotgun sequence.